CGCACUGGGCGGGUUCGCUGCUGGUAGCGGCACUGGCCAGGCCGGGACUGGAGGGGUGGCAGGGCUGGGCGAGGGCGGGCCGGGGAGGAGCCGGCGGGAGGAGCCCCACCGCCUCCGCCGCUAUCAGGUCGCCGCAGCUUCCAGGGUUCAUAAUACCUCAUAGCACCGAUGAGACUGUCAGUGCAGAGUAUGGUCUGUAUCAGAGGCCUUGCCGCACCAGGUGUAAGCGAAGGGUGAAGAACAAAAAUCUUUAAUGUGGACCACAACGCCCUGCACCUACACUUGGCCUAGGCCUCCGACCCAUUUCAGAACACUGUAUCAAUAGUCUUCUGUGCCCAGGAAUCCUACACAGUGCCACCCUAUGGACCUAAGGGCUGGUUUUUCUGGUUUGCUCCCCCAGAGUGAUUUACGUAAUUCUUUAAAGAAUCCUCCAGAAGCCGGAAGCCCAGUAACCUGUUUUCAGACUUAGAGAGAGGGAAGCACCACGGUUGUUUCUCCAAAUCUGGGGCUGGGAAUGGCCACAUGGAGCAGGCCAAGCGAGAGGCAGCCUCAGGGGCUUGAGCCAGCUGCAGAGGGAGAACCCCAUGUGUCCCUGGGCCGGGAGAUGACAGAGGCCAACCGCUUUGCCUAUGCUGCCCUCUGUGGCAUCUCUCUGUCCCAGCUGUUUCCAGAACCUGACCAGAGCUCCUUCUGCACAGAGUUCAUGGCAGGCCUGGUGAAGUGGCUGGAGUUAUCCGAAGCCGUCCUACCAACCAUGACUGCUUUUGCCAGUGGCCUGGGAGGUGAAGAAACAGACACGUUUGCUCAGAUUUUAUUGAAGGACCCCAUCCUGAAGGUUGACCCAUCACUGAUCACUCAGGACCUUCUGAGCUUCUCCCUCAAUGAAGGGCGCUAUGAUGCCCGGGCCAGAGUCCUCGUUUGCCACAUGACCUCCCUGCUCCAAGUGCCCUUGGAGGAACUGGAUGUCCUUGAAGAGACAUUCCUUGAAAGCCUGAAGGAAACCAAAGAGGAGGAAUCUGAAACUGCCCAGGCUUCCCGGAAGAAGAAAGAAAACAGGAGGAAAUGGAAGCGUUAUCUCCUGAUAGGCCUGGCAACUGUUGGAGGCGGGACAUUGCUUGGUGUGACUGGGGGUCUUGCUGCCCCCCUUGUUGCCGCUGGAGCUGCGACAAUCAUUGGCAGUGCUGGGGCAGCGGCCCUGGGCUCAGUGGCUGGCAUAGCUGUCAUGACCUCGCUGUUCGGUGCAGCUGGAGCCGGCCUGACAGGAUACAAGAUGAAGAAGCGUGUUGGGGCCAUUGAAGAGUUCACAUUCCUUCCUCUGGCAGAGGGCAGGCAGCUGCACAUCACCAUUGCCAUCACUGGGUGGCUCGCAUCUGGCAAAUAUCGCACCUUCAAUGCCCCGUGGGCGGCCCUGGCCCGCAGCCAAGAGCAGUACUGCCUGGCCUGGGAAGCCAAGUACCUGAUGGAGCUCGGCAAUGCCCUGGAAACGAUCCUCAGUGGCCUCGCCAACAUGGUGGCCCAGGAGGCCCUCAAGUACACGGUGCUGUCUGGCAUCGUGGCCGCCCUGACCUGGCCAGCCUCACUCCUCAGUGUCGCCAGCGUCAUCGACAACCCCUGGGGGGUGUGUCUCCAUCGGUCCGCAGAGGUUGGCAAGCACCUGGCUCAUAUCCUGCUCUCUCGGCAGCAGGGCCGGCGACCUGUCACCUUGAUUGGCUUCAGCCUGGGAGCCAGAGUCAUCUACUUCUGUCUGCAAGAGAUGGCCCAGGAGAAAGAUUGCCAAGGGAUCAUCGAGGACGUGGUGCUGCUGGGUGCGCCAGUAGAAGGAGACCCCAAGCACUGGAAGCCCUUCCGGAAGGUGGUGUCUGGGAGGAUCAUCAAUGGCUACUCCAGGGGAGACUGGCUGCUGCGCUUCGUGUACCGCACGUCGUCGGUGCAGCUCCGUGUGGCCGGCCUGCAGCCCGUGCUCCUGCAGGACCGCAGGAUGGAGAACGUGGACCUGUCCUCGGUGGACCUGCUCGUGCAAGGCCUCACCCACCUGAGCAGCAGGGCUGACCAACCCCAGCCCCCCACCCGUGGGAGCUCCGGGGUUACCAGACCUUCCGCUCUGUCUUCUGAGCACACGCUGGAGCUGCUGGUCUUGGGGUCACUCUGUUCCUGGUGCACCUGACACAGGAGACAUAAACCCCACCUGCAUCCCAUGCACCCCGACUCGCCAAGGAGAAUGCUGGAAACUUCAAGGAUAGGCUCAAGGCCAGAAUCUGGCCUUGAAGGUGCAAAGCCUGUGCUGUCCACCUCCCUAUGGGAUGGAAGAAAGCUGGGUCACAAGGCCAGGAAGCCACAGACUCAAAGUGAUGCCUCCCGACCGGCACCUAGUGCCGGUGUGCUAUCUGAGGGUCCUACCCCUAUGUGGGGCAACAGCGGUGGGAACUGUGCUUCACCAGGAGUCUCCUCAGCUGAAGGAAUCAUCAAAAGGAGCAGCCAUGGGCCAAGGAUUCAGCUGGGUGGCGCCACGCCUGCAUCACAAACACAAGGUUCUGAGAUCAGUCCUGGGUACCAAAAUAAACAAAAACAAACGAACAAAAAAAGGAGCAACUAAAAGCUCCUCUUCAUGCCACAGAGCUCUUGCACAAUGCAGUUUCAGGGAUCUGGGCUGCAGCUCAGCAGCAGCAUGUUUGCCUAGCACACACAAGGCCCUGGGUUCCAUCCCCAGCACUGGUGGAAAGAAUAGAUCCUGUUUCUGCCCCCAGAAGCUGUGGAUGGGAUACCAUGGGAAGAGCACAGCCUUUGGCCUGGUUUAGACUCCCAGCUGUGUGACCCUUAGGCAAGCUACUUAACUUCUCUGGCCUUCAUUUCCUUAUCUAUGAAAAGGGAGGAACCUUUGUAAGUAAGAUGCUUGCAAGUAGUAGGUCCUCAUUUAAUCCAGCUCGCUCCUUUCCUGCAACUGCCAUCCUCUUCCUUUCUUUGCCUUUAUGACCAGCUGCAUCCAGACUCUCUCCCUCCUCACUGGCUGUUGCAUGGCAGCCUCCCAGCUCCUGCCUAAUAAUAGCUCUUUAUCACAUUAGGAGGCACAAAACCAGUGCUUUCCUCCUCCGGGUAAUUAGAAGUAAUUACCAUGGCCUCUGGGUGGCCCUCCUGUUUUUCUUGAAGAAGAGGAAGCUGCCCCCUCAUUCCGGCUGGCUGAAACCCACAGACCCGGUGAGGUUUCUGGGGGCCCCAGCCCAGGGCAAGACUUUCAUUUCCCAGAGCAGGCAUCACUUGGCAUCUAGAGCACCUAAAAGGGCUGGGCACCAACCAGACCCUCAGUACUGACAAUGGCCAGCGCGGCCGGGCACUGCUGCACACUCUGCCAAGAUCUACUGUGUGAUACAUGAUGCCAUCCCAUGACAGCUCCGUAACCCACUGUACAGGUGCAGAAACUGAGGCUGCAGAAGGUGACACCGCCUGUGACUUGUGAGCCUGAGGAACCUGCUUCCGACCCUGGGCCCUUAACGACGCAUUUGUGCUGCCGGUGUUCCUACAGUUGGGGCCUAGAGAGCCGACUCUGCCUCUACCAGAAAGCCUGUUCUGUGUAUUAUCAGCGAGUCCUCCCACCAGGCCCCCUGGUGCAGUCCUCUUUUUUUUUUUUUACUGGGGAUUGAACCCAGAGCCUUCACACUGGGCCCUUUUUUUAAUUUUUGAGAUGGUCUCACUUAGUUGUCCACACUGGGCUUGAACUUGCCAUCCUCCUGCCUCAGCCUCCCAGAGUGCUGGGAUUUCAGACAUGCCCCACUAUGUCCACCUCACUAGUCCCACUUUACAGAGGAGGGAACUGAGCCCCAAGAGGUGAAGGAAGCCAGGGGCCUGGUAGGUCCAGGUGACCUGGAUCCCAUGAUGUGCAGGGCUGGUGAGGGAAACAAGCCUGUCACAAGUGGCCCCACCUUACUCAAGCUCCCAGCCUAUCAGCAAAUCAGUUGCAUAAACAGCUGACACUGAAAGUUUACUGAGGCCUGGAUCAGUCAGGGGGUCCCCAACCACAUGGGGCAUCAAGAAAGGCUCCUCGGCACUAGCAUACUAGGUAGCGAUGUUCAGCAUGCAUCCAAGCGCCCAGGUUGGAAGCUUCAUUGAACGCCAGCCACACCAGAACCUUCCACAGCUCGGCUGACUCUCUUCUAAGCCCAUGUCGCCCCUGUGCUGUCAUCUGCUGCUAACGGAACAGUCAGAGCUGAGACAGCAGCUUCUCCCUCCUGAGUCUGUGCAGAAUGGCAGCUCAGGGUCUGGGCUGGGCAGAGGAGGGCUGGAGCUGUGUGUCUGGGGACAGCUGCGUGGUAGAAUUUCUAUUUGGAGUCAGCAGUACCAAGCAGCCAAAAACAGCUCCCUUUCUUCCUGACCUGUUACCACAGGGCCCUGGCACUGGCCUUUCACCAACAUUAAAAAGGUGUCUGGAGACUGUUUUAGUUACUUUUUCUUUGUAAGGACAAAAUACCCAACACCCAGAAGUUAGAGGAGACGCUUAUUUUAGCUCACAGUUUGCAGAAGUGUCCGUCUGUAUUCGGCUGACUCCAAGGUAGGGUGGCUUGGCAGAGGAGAAACAGUCCAUGGUAUGGCAGGCAGGAAGCAGAGAGGGGUCAAGGGAGGACUAGGAAGCCUCCUGGGAAACUAAUUCGAGCUCAGUUUGGGAAACUUAGCAAUUUAGCAAGACUCGGAAUCAAAAUUUAAAAAAAAAAAAAUUAAAGAGCUGAGGAUGUACCUCAGUGUGAAGGCCCUGGGUUCAAUCCCUGGUACCACCAAAAAAAAUAUUUUAAAAAAGAGGAAGGAAGGAAAGAAACCAGGGUAAGGGUACAUGUAUUUAUGGAGUGCCUGCUACAGGCCAGGCACUAUUCUUUGUGACAUGCAUGUAUUAUUUCUCCCUACCAAUGCUUUGAGUUUGGACCUCACUAACUCAGAUCUGGUGGUGUCUCUGUGAAAGUGCUUUGGGUCUAUGUAGGACAUCACAGUGCGACACAGUGCACACACUGUUCUACCAAGAUCAGGCCCUUGAACUCUGCAGCACACUUCAAGGUUGUGACCCUCACUUUACAGAUGGGGAAGCUGCAAUUCAGGAAACUGUGAGAACCACCCAGUUCCCAGUAGGAGCCAGAGCCAGGGCUGGGACCCACUUCUCAGAGUUCAGAUGUAGCUUCUUUCUGGUGCCACACAGUCACUAACUGUGCCUCAUCCUGCAGAAGGGCCCCAGCCCCACCGUGACCUCCACUCUGAACCCCAGACCCGAACAGCUGCUUAGAUGUGUGUGUUCUCAUGGAGAACUGUUUUAAAGUGUUUGUGGGAAAGGAACAGGAGGCAGACAGGUGCCGGUGGAGAGAAAAUAACAAAGCUGUGUAGAGAAUCAUCUUUCUGUCUUCUUGAAAAGUCACUUGAUUACCUGGCAUGAUCUGUCAUGCCUGGGGUAAGGCAGGUGCUACCAGGGGGUCUUGGUGCAGCUUCCUGAGAGUCCCAGCGCCAGCCCCCUGGAGUGCUCCUGUCCCCUUCAGUCCACUCCCACAGUGGUGGCAUUAAUCCAUGCUCCAUCCUGGGUUGGCCUUUGGUGCUAAGGUGGGUCCCCAGGAUAGGGUGUGGAGAGUACAGGGCUCCAUUCCAGGGGCAGCCCGAGCUCAGCAGCUCCCAUACCUGCUCCUCCAAGGAAAGCAUGGGCUUUGCUCUUCACGGGAUAUGUGUCACUGAGCAAACCUGCACCCCGUCUCUGGGCUUCACCCUCCUCACCUAAAAUGAGAAUGGUUUCAGCAGUGCUCCCUCCCCAGGUGUUUUUCUCUCCAGAGAUCGGGCUUUAGAACCAGGCCUAGAUCCGUGUCCCAGGAAGAGCUGUGUAUCCUUGGGCAAGUCACCUUCCCUCCCUGUAGCUCAAUUUCUUCAUCUACAUUUAGCAGCCCGCACCUGUCAGAGGAGUAUGUCCAUAAACUCGGUUGCUAGGAUGUCUUAAGGACCUACUGCCUAUCAGGCAUUGUUCAUUAUUACAGUCGGGCACCAGUAUUCCCGUCUCACUCCUACUUCUCACUCAGACACAUCCCAACACAGAAAUGGGGAUGUCCCAUUUUUGUGGGCACUUCUGAGUUCUUGGCCCUUGUCUCAGCAAAUAACAGAGUCCUGGUAAAACAUCUUAAACAAGGAUAGUUCUGUGGCAUGAAAGAAGCCAGAGUCCGCAGUUUAGGGCUGGUUUGUAAGCUCCACCGGGCCAACAUUCUGUCUUGCUGCAUACUCUGCCAUUUUUAAUAAGCCAACUCAUGGCCCAAGAUGGCUGCACAAGCUCUGGCCAUCCCAUUUGAAUUCCAGCCACAAGAAAGAGGAAAUGGGAAGACAAGAAGACCACUUCUCUUAAAAAGAAUUCCAAGGAGUAUUCACAGAAUGCUAUCACUUCCUCUCUGCCUUAGUCCAUUCGUGCUGCUGUAUGAGAAUACCUGAGACUGAGUAAUUUACAAUGAACAGAAAUUUAUUUGGCUCACAGUUCUAGAGGCUGGGAGGUCCAAAGGGGAUGGCUGUGGCAUCUGAUCUGGCCUUCUUGUCGCAUCAUCCCAUGAUACAAGGUCAGUGGCCACCUGGACUACGCCAAGCAGAUGGACAUCAUCUUGAAGGCUGUGGGCAUCCACACAAAGCCAGGCUGGGGUGAGAAGGGGCUCUUGCUGGCCCCAGGGAGCCAGACCCAAGAGGAGCCUUGCCAGGCCACAGCCGCUUCCUCAGCAGACCAGAU